AUUGAACGCUGGCGGCAUGCUUUACACAUGCAAGUCGAACGGUAGCAGGCCGCAAGGUGCUGACGAGUGGCGAACGGGUGAGUAAUGCAUCGGAACGUGCCCAGUCGUGGGGGAUAACUACUCGAAAGAGUAGCUAAUACCGCAUACGAUCUAUGGGUGAAAGCGGGGGACCGUAAGGCCUCGCGCGAUUUGAGCGGCCGAUGUCAGAUUAGGUAGUUGGUGGGGUAAAGGCUCACCAAGCCAACGAUCUGUAGCUGGUCUGAGAGGACGACCAGCCACACUGGGACUGAGACACGGCCCAGACUCCUACGGGAGGCAGCAGUGGGGAAUUUUGGACAAUGGGCGCAAGCCUGAUCCAGCAAUGCCGCGUGCAGGAAGAAGGCCUUCGGGUUGUAAACUGCUUUUGUACGGAACGAAACGGCUCUGGUUAAUACCCGGGGCUAAUGACGGUACCGUAAGAAUAAGCACCGGCUAACUACGUG
rnacentral:rRNA from 1 species